AAUACCUGGCUGCGACAUCUGUCACCCCAUUGAUUGCCAGGGUUGGUUCGGCUGAUCUGGCUGGCUAGGCUGGUGUUCCCUUCCUCACCCAACUCUCCACGUGCAUCCCUCCCGAAGCCUCGCACUCCAUUGAAGAGGACGACCUUCCCCGAUAGAGGAGGGCUGGUCUUUGGUCAAGGGUAUACGAGUAGCUGUGCUCCCCUGCUAGAACCUCCAAACAAGCUCUCAAGGUCCAGUAGUUACUUUUAGAAAAUCAUGGUAGGCACUGAAUUUAGUGAGAUCUGAACCAUUGCUCCUAAGGGAAAUGGAAGCUUUGUUUCCUGUCAGUUUCU
rnacentral:snRNA from 1 species